rnacentral:rRNA from 1 species
CCUACGGGUGGCUGCAGUGGGGAAUAUUGGACAAUGGGGGCAACCCUGAUCCAGCCAUGCCGCGUGUGUGAAGAAGGCCCUCGGGUUGUAAAGCACUUUCAGUGAGGAAGAACGCCUGGUGGUUAAUACCCAUCAGGAAAGACAUCACUCACAGAAGAAGCACCGGCUAACUCCGUGCCAGCAGCCGCGGUAAUACGGAGGGUGCGAGCGUUAAUCGGAAUUACUGGGCGUAAAGCGCGCGUAGGUGGCUUGAUAAGCCGGUUGUGAAAGCCCCGGGCUCAACCUGGGCACGGCAGCCGGAACUGUCAAGCUAGAGUGCAGGAGAGGAAGGUAGAAUUCCCGGUGUAGCGGUGAAAUGCGUAGAGAUCGGGAGGAAUACCAGUGGCGAAGGCGGCCUUCUGGACUGACACUGACACUGAGGUGCGAAAGCGUGGGUAGCAAACAGGAUUAGAUACCCGAGUAGUC